rnacentral:rRNA from 1 species
UAGACUUAUUAAUUAUAAGCUUGUAUGAAUGGUUGGACGAAAUAUUAACUGUCUCAUAUUUAUUAUUAGAAUUUAAUUUUUGAGUUAAAAAGCUUAAAUUUUAUUAAAGGACGAGAAGACCCUAUAGAUCUUUAUUUUCAAGAUUUAUUUUUUUUUAGUAUUUAUUUAUAAUAUUGAAUUUUUAGUUGGGGUGACUUUGGGAUAUAAUUAACUCUUUAUUUUUUUUUUCAUUUAUUUAUGUUUAUUUGACCUUUUAUUAUUGUUUAUAAAAUUAAAAUACCUUAGGGAUAACAGCGUAAUUCUUUUUAAAAGUUCUUAUUGACNAAGGAAAUUGCGACCUCGAUGUUGAAUUAAAAUUAAUAUUAGGUGAAAAAGCUUAAUUAUUAGGUCUGUUCGACCUUUAAAAUCUUACAUGAUCUGAGU